GCACACUGCAGCCCGGACCUGGAGUCGCUGUCUUUAAACUGCAAGCCAUUCUAUUCGCCACAUCCACGAACAGGACGUGAGACGGCUCUUCAAGCAGCAGAAGAUCAAGAAAGCUGCGGGGCCCGACAAAGUGUCCCCCUCCUGCCUGAAAGUCUGCGCUGACCAGCUGGCUCCGGUCUUCGCACAAAUCUUCAACAGAUCCCUGGAGCUGUGUGAGGUCCCAUCCUGCUUCAAACAGUCUACCAUCAUCCCAGUUCCCAAGAAAUCGGCAACAUCGGAACUGAACGACUAUAGGCCUGUUGCCCUGACGUCUGUGGUCAUGAAGUCCUUUGAACGCCUUGUGCUGAACCACCUAAAGAACGUCACCGGACCUCUGCUGGACCCUCUCCACUUUGCCUAACGGGCAAACAGGUCUGUGGAAGACGCAGUCAACAUAGCUCUGCGUUCAACACCAUCAUCCCGGAACUCCUCACCCCCAAACUACUCCACCUCGGUGUGUCCCCUACGAUCUGCCAGUGGAUCCUCAGCUUCCUGACGGGACGGACACAACAGGUGAGACUGGGAGCAACAACAUCAUCAAUACGCACCACC